rnacentral:lncRNA from 1 species
UAUUAUCCCGUGUGUCCCUGGUUCGAUACCACACGAGCGCUUCCUUUUUUUUUUUCAUUUCAAUUAUUCAUAGCCAAAACGACUGCGUUUUGAGGAGGCGCUCCAUGAGCCUCACAUCCUGUGUUCGAAUCCGCCUGAGGCUUGUUUCCAAAUUCCAUUUUAUUUUCAUAAUAUUUUCAUGUUUUUCCAUUUAUUUCAUUUCUUUCAUGCUU